UACGUAGGGUGCAAGCGUUGUCCGGAAUUAUUGGGCGUAAAGAGCUCGUAGGCGGUUUGUCGCGUCUGCUGUGAAAACCCGAGGCUCAACCUCGGGCCUGCAGUGGGUACGGGCAGACUAGAGUGCGGUAGGGGAGAUUGGAAUUCCUGGUGUAGCGGUGGAAUGCGCAGAUAUCAGGAGGAACACCAAUGGCGAAGGCAGAUCUCUGGGCCGUAACUGACGCUGAGGAGCGAAAGCUGGGGAGCGAACAGG
rnacentral:rRNA from 1 species